rnacentral:rRNA from 1 species
GNNGGGGGGCACCUGCCCCCGGGCCCGCGCCCGCCGAAGACACCAUUGAACUCUGUCUGAAGAUUGCAGUCUGAGCGAUUAACUAAAUCAGUUAAAACUUUCAACAACGGAUCUCUUGGUUCCGGCAUCGAUGAAGAACGCAGCGAAAUGCGAUAAGUAAUGUGAAUUGCAGAAUUCAGUGAAUCAUCGAGUCUUUGAACGCACAUUGCGCCCCCUGGUAUUCCGGGGGGCAUGCCUGUCCGAGCGUCAUUGCUGCCCUCAAGCACGGCUUGUGUGUUGGGCUCCGCCCCCCUCCCGGGGGGCGGGCCCGAAAGGCAGCGGCGGCACCGCGUCCGGUCCUCGAGCGUAUGGGGCUUUGUCACCCGCUCUGUAGGCCCGGCCGGCGCCCGCCGGCGACCCCAAUCAAUCUUUCCAGGUUGACCUCGGAUCAGGUAGGGAUACCCGCUGAACUUAAGCAUAUCAAUAAGCGGAGGAA